GUGUCAGCCGCCGCGGUAAUACGUAAGUGGCGAGCGUUAUCCGGAAUUACUGGGCGUAAAGCGUGCGUAGGCGGUUUAGUGUGUGGGAAUUGAAAGCCCGGGGCUCAACUCCGGAUCCGGUUCCCAAACUACUAGACUCGAGAGUAUCAGAGGAGAGCGGAAUUCCCGGUGUAGCGGUAAUAUGCGUAGAUAUCGGGAGGAACACCAGUGGCGAAGGCGGCUCUCUGGGGUAUUUCUGACGCUGAGGCACGAAAGCCAGGGGAGCGAACGGGAUUAGAAACCCGCGUAGUCC
rnacentral:rRNA from 1 species